CUACGGGUCGCUCCAGUGGGGAAUAUUGCACAAUGGAGGAAACUCUGAUGCAGCAACGCCGCGUGGAGGAUGACACUUUUCGGAGCGUAAACUCCUUUUAUAUAGGAAGAUAAUGACGGUACUAUAUGAAUAAGCACCGGCUAACUCCGUGCCAGCAGCCGCGGUAAUACGGAGGGUGCAAGCGUUACUCGGAAUCACUGGGCGUAAAGAGCGUGUAGGCGGAUAGAUAAGUCAGGAGUGAAAUCCUAUGGCUCAACCAUAGAACUGCUCUUGAAACUGUCUAUAUAGAAUAUGGGAGAGGUAGAUGGAAUUUCUGGUGUAGGGGUAAAAUCCGUAGAGAUCAGAAGGAAUACCGAUUGCGAAGGCGAUCUACUGGAACAUUAUUGACGCUGAGACGCGAAAGCGUGGGGAGCAAACAGGAUUAGAUACCCGUGUAGUC
rnacentral:rRNA from 1 species